ACUUGAAAAUAUAAAACUGGUUGAAACCGGUUUCGUUCUUAUAUUUCAACGUAUAAAGUAUUAUAACAUUCGGUUGUGUUAUACGUUGGUCAUUGUGCCGUCACACUUCAAGUAUUCGGCCCUAACCCCUUGGAGGAAACCCCCAUUUGUUUUUGCCCAUUUUCCCACUUUUGUUCAUUUCUGAACAACAAGAUGCCCAAGAGAAAGAUAGACGGCACUGCUGAGACUAAGGAGCCUACGAGAUGGUCCAAGCGUCUGGCAAAUAAACCCCAACAACCAAAACUGGCACCUAAACCCAAGAAAGCUGCAGUAAAAAAGGCGGCCAAAGGAAAGAAGGCCAGCCCGGCUGAGAACGCUGAUGCCAAGGCCGAGACACCCAAGGUUGAGGCCACCGGAGAUGCCAAAUGAGCAGUAGUGAGCCUUGGGGAGGUUUCCUUGUUCUGUGUACUUGGUGAUUGUACAGUUUUGGAAAAGUAUUUUUUACCAAGUUUUAUAUUACAAAUGUCAUUUAUAGUUUGUUUGUUUGUUUUUGGGGGGAGGUGCACAUGAAAUAAUGAAGUGGGGUGGGCGGGGUCACAUCCAUAUCUACUUUUAUGCCAUUUUGAAAGAAUGCCAUCCAAAUCCUGUAAAAGUAAUAUUUUUAAGUCGUGUGAAUUUUAUUUUUUUUUAACUGCUGAAUAAUACAGAUAUUUUCCUACGUUAUGGAUUUUAAUUCUAGUUUUAAAACCCAAAACAGUUAUCACGAGGCAGCUAAAGUAUAUGGAUAAAGGUUUAAGGAGGAGAGGAUCAUAUUUUAACGUGUGAGCAUGUGGACUUGCUCAGUAAAUGUUUUGAAGCACUGUAUAUCUGGUCUGAAAAGAAAUACCGCAGGAAAAGCCUGUCUGAGGAAAACGCGUAUUAGGUCAACGGUUAAAUGAAUUUUAGGCAACUUAUGUGAGCUUGCUCGUCUGAUGAAAAGUUCUGUGUAGAGAUUGCGUCCUCGAACAGUUGGAUAAAGCUGUACACACUUCCUUUUAUGAGUUUAAAUGUUUGAUGUUCCCAAAUAAAAUGUUCCAAAACA